rnacentral:rRNA from 1 species
CCCCUGACGCAAACUGCCGAGAAAAGCUUCGUGGACCAGGACUAUCGUCGACCGUACCGUAAUCCGACACAGGUAGGCGAGGCGAGCAGCCUAAGGGGCUCGAGUGAUUUACGGAAAAGGAACUCGGCAAAAUUACCCCGUAACUUCGGGAUAAGGGGUGCCGGCAGUAUGUGACUCGUCAAGAGGAGCAGAGACCGGCCGCAGAGAAUCGUCCCAAGCGACUGUUUAGCAAAAACACAGGUGUGUGCCAAGGCAUUGUCCAAGCCGAUGUAUACACACUGACUCCUGCCCGGUGCCGGAAGGUUAAGGCAAGCGGUUAGCCGCAAGGCGAAGCUGCGAACCGAAGCCCCGGUAAACGGCGGCCGUAACAAUAACGGUCCUAAGGUAGCGAAAUUCCUUGUCGGGUAAGUUCCGACCUGCACGAAUGGAGUAACGACUUGGGAGCUGUCUCUUCCGUAAGCUCGGCGAAAUAGCAGUAUCGGUGAGGAUUCCGAUUACCCGCGACAGGACAAAAAGACCCCGUGCACCUUUACUACAACCUGUCAUUGAACGUCGGUAUAACCUGCGUAGCAUAGGUGGGAGCCGUUGAUCUGCCGGUUUUGGCCGGUAGGGAGGCAACAGUGAAAUACCACCCUUGUUUUACUAACGUUCUCACUCAGGCGGCAACACCGCCGAGGACCGUGACUGGUGGGUAGUUUGACUGGGGCGGUCGCCUCCUAAAGAGUACCGGAGGCACGCUAUGGUGGGCUCAGUGCGGUCGGUAAUCGCACGACGAGUGUAUAAGCAAAAGCCCGCCUGACUGCGAGCGCGACGGCGCAAGCAGGGACGAAAGUCGGCUUAAGUGAUCCGGUGAUCCCGUGUGGAUGGGUCAUCGCUCAUCGGAUAAAAGGUACGCUGGGGAUAACAGGCUUAUCGCGCCCGAGAGUUCACAUCGACGGCGCGGUUUGGCACCUCGAUGUCGGCUUGUCACAUCCUGGGGCUGGAGAAGGUCCCAAGGGUCCGGCUGUUCGCCGGUUAAAGUGGCACAUGAGCUGGGUUCAGAACGUCGUGAGACAGUUCGGUCUGUAUCCGUCGUGGGCGUGGGAGUGUUGAGGGGCGUCGUCUUUAGUACGAGAGGACCGAGACGAAGCGACCGCUCGUGUACGGGCUAUCCUGCCAAGGGUAUCGCCCGGUAGCGAUGUCGCGCGGAGAUAACCGCUGAAAGCAUCUAAGUGGGAAACUCUUCCCAAGAUGAACACUCCUGGACCAUAAGGUCCCUGAAGGGCCCUGGGAGACUACCAGGUUGAUAGGGCGCAGAUGUACGGGGAGCAAUCCCUUCAGUCGAGCGCUACUAAUCGCCCGUGAAGUUUGAUCUC